CACGAACGGUACGCCUCUGCGCGUUCACGGUGUCCUGAGAUUCUCUAUUGGAAGUGGUUGUUCGAAUAUUUUAGUGCGAGCCUCCAGUUUGAUAGUAAAGUUUACCUAUAAAACUGUCCUUCAACUGGCUGCAAAGGGGAUUUAAGUCAAUGUUUUCUCAUUGUGAAGUACCAUCACAUUUUUUAAGGCAGUUUAGCUUUACUUAAACACGAUAACAGCUGUUUGAACAUUGCCAACGAGCCAUCUCCAACGGGAGUUUUUGAACACACGGACAGCGAGGUUGAGGCGAUAUUUUUUUAAUGGGACGUAACGUUCUUGUUCAGGAAACAUUUUGCUAACUAGCUUAACGUUAGCUAUAUAACAUAUCUCACGUCUUUAGUUUGUUUUAUAAUGCGGUGUUUUGGCUCAGAGGGAUCAAGCUGUGUUUCUGCAGCUGGCGUGGAAGACACCAGGAGGAGGAAACUGUGGUGAAAUCGAGAGUGAUAACCCGAAAAACAUCUCAUCAGAUACUCCGGCUACUCCUGCAGUGAGCCAGUAUCAUGGAGGCAGCAGUGGGGAGUGCAGCUCUAGGACUGCUCGGAGCCACGGCAGCAGCCAGCCAUGACAUCUCUGACAGGGGCCUGAGGCCAGGGCGUCACCCAGAGGAGGAUGACAUAGUGCCUGAGCUGACCCGCCUAGUCUACCCCCGAGAGAGACCUGACUGGGAUGAGACCAUCAGCGCCAUGGUGAGAUGGAGAACACUGGCAGACACACACACGUUUACAUACUACAUAAACGUACACACACAGAGACAAACACGCACACACAUGCACACAAACCCAUGACAACAUGUACAAAUGCACAGCACAUGAGUGUGUGUGUAUAUAAUCAGCUCUGGAAAAAAUUAAGAGACCACUGCAAAAUGAUCAGAUUCUAUGGUUUUACUAU